rnacentral:misc_RNA from 1 species
CUUUUUGAAUCUUGUUUUAGUGGGUAAGGUAGCUUAUUGUUAUAGAUUACAUUUUGUGGUAAAAAAAUUGUGCAUCUUGUGGCACACUUCUUUUCCCCUUCUUCGGAAUCUCAUUUAUUCUUUCUUUGUGACGUACUAGAGACCUUGUUAGAGUUUCUUUGUAAUGUAGAAAGACAAUUAUAAAUGGCUUUUUAAGUAGAAUAAAUGAGAUUCCGAAGAAGGGGAAAAGAA